rnacentral:ribozyme from 1 species
UGCUCAGCAACUCCUAUCCCUACCUCCUAGUGGUACUGGCCGGGGUACGAGUAACCUUGGGGAAGAUCGGGUAACCAACCCCGGUGGGAACUUUGGUCGUAUGCUGAUAGGGAAAG